ensembl:snRNA U1 U1 spliceosomal RNA
CUAGCCACAGGCAGUGGAGAUACCAUGAGCAAGAGGGCGGUUUUCCCCAGGCGAGGCUGACCAUUACACUCGGGAUCUGCUGACCCUGCAAUUUCCCCAUGUGGGGGAAUCUCCACUGCAGGAUUCGUGUGCAUCGGGGUUUCCAUUCACACUUCCCCUGU